CCCGGCCCUUCAGCGGCCGCAGCUGUCGCGUGUGGGGCUGCGUUUGCUGCUGGGGGGAAUCUCCGCAGUCAUUGUGCUCGCUCUGAGAAAGAAAAAUACUGCACAGGAUUACACAAACUCCGCUGCGUCUGCGGAGUGUUUUAAUUGCACGUUUUAGUAUCCUACGGAGCCUUGCUGGAGUCUGUCCCGCUGCAUAAUUCCCUUAAACCACCUGUCAGCGCAGCUCGAUGUCACUUUCCUCAGCUUUUUAUAGAUGCAUAAUACAAACCAAUUGCCAUGUGGCACAACAGCUUACGGUGCAGAAAAUUGGGCUGUCUGAUACAAUUCUGGAAGUCCCAUCUAGUUUUCACAUCUAUUUUUUAAAAGAAAAAUCCUGCUCCCAUGAAAACAGCUCCAAGUCCUAUGGAAACCAUGGCUCAGGAAGAGUAAAGAAGUUUUUGACCCGCUCCUUUCAGGGGUGUGCAGUGCCCCUCCUUCAAGGAUCAGGGACCUCUGCCGAGGAAAGAGCGGCAGAGCCAGGAGCGUGAAGACAAACCCAGGAAGUUUGUCUUCUGGACGAUUGAACUGCACUAAACUGUGUACAAAACUGAAACAGAAGACACGGCAAAUGAAAACAUAGGAUUUCUAAGAGAGCUUUCUAACUAAUUCUCCAUCCUCCAAUUGAUGGAUGCAAGCCAACCCUACAACUGUUACACUUGCCUGGCCCUGUCAAGAGCUCUGUCAUCGUGAUUUGAUCCUCAAACAAAACACUCAUCUCAAGAGAUCUAGAAUUGACCUUUUAAGUCCCUGCUGAGGAUGGGACAAGGCAGCAGUGUGUGGUGGGUGAAUUUAGCCCAGAGCCUGUGGGCAUCACAGAACACGGCAGCAAAAGAGCCCCGAGGGACAGCUGUUCAGGAUUCACAUUGUGCAGGAUUCACAUUGCUGCUCCUCAAAAAUGCACACCUGGAGCUGCACACACCUGUGGGACAGCCCCAAGCCAAGCCAACACUCACAGUGCCCAACAACUGUGAAGGAAACAGAACUUUCUAACAUUUGGAAGCAGCCUGAGCAGAGAGGAUUUGUCCUGAAAAGUCAAUGCACCACUGUUUCUGGGUUGCUCCUGACAAGCACCACGACUGACACCACCAAAGAGGGGGCUGCUGGCAGGACAGCAAAUAUAUUGUUGUUGGUCCUGGGCUGCACAGGAUUACACAAACCAGAGAGAGUCACACUGGCAUGAAACACAACUGGUGACAGAAGGUCCCUGGCACAACCAGUGGAGCUCUGGCCAGCACACAGCCCACACAGAUGAGCCUGGCAUCCAGAGGGAUAUGACAUCCCUGAGGUUACAAGGGGUCUCAGAAAUCAGAGGAAUCCUGCAAUAAAUGGCAGCUGCAGGACAAGAAGAAUGGUACCAUUAAAACCUCAGCAGGAAUGAGCAUGAAGGUGACUCAGAAAUAGUGUCCAGCACUGCCAGGCAACCCUUCUGAGUGUGGUUUGUUUGGGGAAGAGGAGAGAGACCUGUCUGGGGGAUGAGAGGUCAUCACUGCUGUUGUGGCACCAAAAAUCUGCUUGCAAAGGUGUGGUUGUGGACACUGCAGCCUGUCUGUUGGGAAACUCAAUUUGCAGUAAUAAGGAUGAGGAAACAAAGGCACUGCAGAGAAUUAUGCCAUCUGCAGUGAAGUGAUACUUGCUCCAAAAUGAUUCCCUGUGUUUUGUGGGAUAUCCUAGAAUAUUUGAAACACCCAACAUCCCACUGUUCUGCACUGCUAAGAGUCUGUCUCACUUGGAAUUGGGCUGCUCUGUGCAUCUCCAGUCCCCUCAAGGCUGCCUGAAGAGGCAGAUCCCUGCCUUGGAUCUCCCCAGCCAGUGCCAAUAAAACCUACUUCAACACUCUGACAUUUUUACCCAGACACCUCAAAAAAAGAUUACUUCAAGCAGCGGGAAGUUAGGAGCAUUACAGGAUCUGCUGCAGACAGAUCCCAGCUUGCUUUGCCUGUGUUCCAGCCCCCUGGAAACCAGGUAACAGGACUCCUGCAGGAAUCACCCAAAAUUAUUUGCUUCACUUCAGGUGUCUAUCUGCAAAAAUCAGGAAUUUCCUAGAAUGUGGAAGGGAAAAAAGAAAAUAUUAAUAUUUUUCUAGUUUUUAUAAGUUUAAGCAUGUUUCAAAUAACUGAUAUUUCUCGUUAAUAGUACAUUCAUUUUUUGCACAAUGGAACUGUUUAACUUUGGUUGAACAAAUCUGCAAGGACUUUUCUGUUGCUAUUUUUUCUUUAAAAUUCUGUCCUGUUGUGAGUGAGGGCUGUGUUCCAGAAUUCAUGGGUAUAACCAAUGACCUUUUGGGCAGGAUAAAUGUAGGAAAGACAGGUUUCUCUGUGGAAUAGUUUUAGGAUCAUGGCCAGAAUGAACUUCUCUGGCUCAGUGCAAACUGAGAGGGACUAGAUGCUGAGUAAAGCAACUGUCUUUGUUUUGUUCCUCCUGUGCCCAAGGAAAUAGACCUUUGCGUGUUCUUUGGAAAAGAAAAGGGAUACAUCAAAGUAAUUCCCCACUUCAUUCUCCAUUUCUCCUAAUGGGAAACAACUGUCAGGAUUCCAAUAACAGACCACUUACUCAGAUCUAACCCAAAAGCUAUAUUCUUGAUGUUUAAUUCCACAGGAAGAGGUGUUCUGGGGAUGUAAGGUGGAUGGGGUAGAGAUGAGAAAGAGGCUUAAGUUUGCAAAGAAUGAGAUUUGAGAGAUUCAGGGAAAUGGCUUUGUUUAAAAUGCUCUGUGUCCUUACUCUGGAAAGCCUUUACAUACCUGUUUAAUGUUAACCAGAUGUGCAGGUCUCACAGGAGAGUGCUUCUGCUGUUGUCUUGCCCUCUGUUUCUGUCCCCAGUCUGCCCUGGACUCAAGCAGAGGCAGGAAGGCACCAAGUGUCAUUCCAUGCUGGAGCAGCACAAAGGAGUUCUCAUGGACCAAACUGUGCUUAGUGCAGAUAACAACUCCAGCAAACUCCAGCUAUGAGUUUUAGGAAAUCUAGACUGUGUAUAGAAGAGAUAGAAGUUCUCAGAAGAUGAAAAGUUGGCCAAAUUUGGGAUAAUUCUUAGUAGGACAACAAAAAGCUGUGUCUGUCACAGCAAGGUAUCAUCCAUGCCCUGUUCCCAGACUUGCUGAAAAAGCUGUGAGGAUCCUGUCCAUGAAGGCAAACUGUUCUUUUCUUCCACAGCCACAUUUUUGGCCACAACUGAAAGAAUUUAGUUGAAAUUACUAAAGAAAUCUCUGGAAUGCGAAUUGGGCCGAAUGGCAUUGAACCUGAGUGGCCUCAACUUGGCAACAUUGUAAGAAGUUGAAAAAUAAAGAUUUAUAAUGGGAUGUGGCACUGCCAGAGAAUGUUCAUUAUGUGUUUGUGCAUGUACAGACCCCCACACAUCUGUAUUAUAUACAGAUGUACUACAGUGCUACUGCAUCACUGAAGAGUUCUUAACCAGAAAUAUCCCCAACUAAUUAUGUAUACUGACAGUAAGAUUGUAAGAAGACAAGAGUUGGACAUUUCAAGGAUGUUAAAAUUGUAGCAAAAAAUGUUCAGAGAGGCUGUGAAGAUAAAUGGGUAGUUGCUAUUUACAAAUAUGAUGAUUACAUACUGUUACCAUGGAAACUUGAAAUGGAAAAUAAAAAGUGACUUUAGCUUCAUCUUAAAACUGCCCUCACUGGGAGGAGAACAAUAGCUGACAUUCCUCCAGCAGGAGACUAAUGGCCCCUCCUGAAGAAUGUACAGUAUGCUUUUCUGUAUUUUUAGCUGUGCAAAAACACAGAAACAGGUUUUAAACCUGCUACCAACUGAAGAUAAGGCUCGGAUAAGAACACAUCUGUUGUUAGAAUCAUAGGACAGUAGGAUUUAUUCCUUUUCCUACAUUAUUUACUCAAACACUCACUGUUCAACAUUUUCUCUUCUGAAACUACUUCAAGUGAUUUUGAGUCCCAUCUAAGUUCAUGGCUUGGUAAUUCUCCCCAAGUACAUUUUUUCAUUAUCUGUGUUUCUGCUUUGGACAAGAUAAUGAGUGAAGGAUGUGACUCAUUUCCAUCAAAAUGAGCUUCCUGAGAAUGGUAAAAGAUGCAGGGAGAUGACAACUGGCCCUGGACAUUUUUAGGACAAUUCUAAGUGUGAAUCAACUGCUGGUUAAUAAAAUAAUAUAUAUAAUAAUAAUUGAACAGGUUAUUCCUAAAUACAAUUUGUACCCAGUGAGAUUGCAGCAAGCACCAAGGCUGGAAGUCAGAAGACUGCAGAGAUGGUACCAUCUGUCUGUCUCUUGGGAAUCAUUCUGGUGCUGAAAAAGCCCUUCUGAGCCAGAUGCUCAGAGCCAGGGAAGUGUUUGCUGACAGCCACUCCUGCUCCACCUGUUAGUGCUGUGCUGGAUCUGAGUACAGCCAAGUAUCUGCACACCAGUGGAGCUGGGAUAUUCAAUGUGCCACACACAGAAAUCAGUGAGUGCAAGGUCCCGUUACCAAAGGAUGGAAGUUCCAUUAAAGAUGAGAUUCAAAGAAGGGCAGCAGACCAGGAGCUGUGGGCAUGUGGAUGGACACUGAAACUGUAGAAGUCUUUCAAGUUCUUUGAUAUUACCUUUUCUUCUUUAUACACUGUUCCUUUUGUUAGCUACACCAGCUUACAGGCCAGUAGUUCAUUUUAUAUGGACACACAGAAUGUAAUUUACAUCAGUUGCAAUUCUUGCCUAUUUAAGUGUUGUUCUUGCUACAUGGAAACAUUUGCAGAGCUGUUAAACUUGUAUUUUUCUUCUUUUGGGGGAGGAACUCCUUUCCAAAAUCUGUGCUAUUUGACAACUGAACUCCUCUGGCUUUUUCACUUUUCACAGUGUUUUUAAAAUUCUUCCAAAUUAUUAAAAUUAACAACAGUGAGACAUUGCAGUAAGACACUUUCAGAUGGUAAUGAUUCUACACUUCUGAACUGAUGGAUACCUGUCUCACUCCAGUACACAUUUGAAGCACUUUAACACAUAAAUAUCCACCAAGAUUAAUAACCUCAGCUUGCAAGUUUCUACUCCAAAUGCUUAUAAUGGGAGAGACAAAAGACUUGAGUAGUUACUGUAGAAAAGCAAAUGAUAAUUAUCUGCCAGACAUUUCCAUGAUAUUUUAAAGAGAAAGUGAACAUUCAGUGUUCUUUGCACCUCCUCUGUGCAGUGAUUUCCAUUUGCUGAUCAGUAUAUUCCACUUGGAAAGUUCAGGCAAUCCACCUAAGUGCUGACACUUACAUGACAGUAAUAAGGCUCCACAGAGAACUGUUUUCUUCCAAAAAUACUGCCAGAACUUUAUUAGAAUUGGGAAACAUGAUAGUCAGUAAAGUGACUAAACAGCUCUUCCUCAUGUUCCAUCUCUGUCAACCUUGUACCUAGAACUUUUUUUGGUCCCCAAUGCUGGCAGGCCUGGUAGCAUGCAGGGGAAAUCUCUGUUCUUGUAACAUUCUUGUAACCAUUCCCAACAGCAGGGAUCAGGUAAUGGCUGGGCAUUGGCCCCAGGGCAGGGAUGUAAGCAAGCACAGGGAAACUGAACUUAUCUUAGUCUGCUUUAUACUCAAUAUAGAAUAUAUUUCCCUUUUCAGUUCAAAGUCCCAAAGGCCACCAAAUUAGUGGCCUCCCUCUCAUUUAUAAUUACCAACCUAAAUGCCCCCUUUAUCAGGUGAACGUAUUCCCACACCACAUUCGGCAUUGCUUCUUUCUUACUGCUGAGCAAUAUCCAGGGAAGUACUAGAUACUGAAACUCCAUUCAGUAGGGAUAUUUUUUAUUAUUUGUUCAGGCCCAGAAAACGUUGUUAUGAUGAAGUUAGGCUACCUUUAAUGAAAUAGCUCAUGUUUCACAGUGCUCUACCACAGGAAAACACAGUUCUCAGCUGAUGUCUUUGUUUACCAUGUGCUAUUUUGCAUAGUGGCUGUUCAGUGAAUAAGCAAAGAGGGACACUUCACUGAGACUGAUCCAUAAGACAUUAAUUAUACAAAAAUACUGUGUUGCAUGUCUUGAUAUAAGCAAAGUUUAAAACUGCAUUCUCUGAUACUUGAUGUUAAACUACCACAUAGACUAUUUCCAGUCUUCAUGGUGCCUUGGAUUUUACACUUCAACUUCUGAAUUUGCUAACAGAUAUGUUAAACAUCUCCAGCAGAAACUCUCCCUACAGCUAUGGAGCUAAGUAAUGUCUAGAGUACAAUUCAUUGUACCAAGUAAAAUAUGUCACAUUUCAAGAUAACAACAGAACAUUCCUGCUUUUCCAGAGGCUUCACGCGAAUAACUAAUGUGUAAAAUCUGCAAAUGCAACAAGAAAGCUUCUGUCUCAACAAAGGUUUUUUAUGUCUUUUCAAGCCUCUGGAGUACAUAAUGCUGUUACCAACCUUUUUAUUUUCUCUUUUUCUCUUUUCUCUUUUCUCUUUUCUCUU